rnacentral:rRNA from 1 species
GAUGAACGCUGGCGGCGUGCCUAAUACAUGCAAGUCGAGCGAACAGAUAGGAGCUUGCUCCUUUGACGUUAGCGGCGGACGGGUGAGUUACACGUGGAUAACCUACCUAUAAGACUGGGAUAACUUCGGGAAACCAGAGCUAAUACCGGAUAACAUAUUGAACCGCAUGGUUCAAUAGUGAAAGGCGGCUUUGCUGUCACUUAUAGAUGGAUCCGCGCCGUAUUAGCUAGUUGGUAAGGUAACGGCUUACCAAGGCAACGAUACGUAGCCGACCUGAGAGGGUGAUCGGCCACACUGGAACUGAGACACGGUCCAGACUCCUACGGGAGGCAGCAGUAGGGAAUCUUCCGCAAUGGGCGAAAGCCUGACGGAGCAACGCCGCGUGAGUGAUGAAGGUCUUCGGAUCGUAAAACUCUGUUAUCAGGGAAGAACAAAUGUGUAAGUAACUGUGCACAUCUUGACGGUACCUGAUCAGAAAGCCACGGCUAACUACGUA